AAGUGAUUUGCAAACUCUCUAUUGAUAUUGAAAUCAUUUUCGUUAGGAUAAGCAAAACAGACGUGAUGCCACCGGCUUCGGUAUGUCAAUUAUUGAGAAUUAUUCCAGGAUUGAAGGACCUCAUUAUCACCAUAAUAAAAUCGAAUGCAUUUGCAGAAAUUCGAGUAACAAUAGCAAAAACUCUUGACGACAAAACGGCUGGAAAAGGAAAAACUUAAUUGCCAGUUGGUGGAUCAAGUGUCACAACUAUUUGGUGGUUUCGAUCUUAAUUUUUUCCGAAAUUUCCUCGUAGGCGUAACUCAUUUUGCCAAUAAAUUGCUUGGAGGUCUUUUUGGCACAUUAGAAGAUAUCGGUCCGUGAUAGUACCGUCCAUAAUAUUACCAAAGGCUCG